rnacentral:pre_miRNA from 1 species
GAUUUCAACUGAAAAAGUCAUCAACAAUGAAGUUGUAUAACUCAUCGAGAUCUAUAACUUUUAUUUUGGUCAUUUCUUCAUCCGAUAAAGUAAUAGUAACAUUGUUCAUAAAUUUACAUCUCUCAUUUGGUUUUAUAAACUAUAAAAGAGAUGUAAAUUUUGUGAACAAUAUUACUAUCACUUUAUCGGAUAAAGAAAUGACCAAAAUAAAAGUUAUAUGUCUUGAUGAGUUCUACAACUUUUAUGUUCAUAACUUUUUCAGCUGAUGUU